GACCGGGGCCUAUCCAGAGCGGGUGCGAGACCCAUAGCCGCCCGCUUCUGCUCGGAUGCGAUCUCCUUGGAGUCGGGUUGCUUGGGAGUGCAGCCCUAAUCGCGUGGUAAACUCCACGUAAGGCUAAAUACCGCCGUGAGACCGAUAGCAAACAAGUACCGUGAGGGAAAGUUGCAAAGAACUUUGAAGAGAGAGUUCAAGAGUACGUGAAACUGCUCAGAGGUAAACGGGUGGGCCCUCGAAAUCCUGUGGCGAGAGGAUUCAGUCUGGCGUCGCGAACGCGCGGGCGGAAGAACCGAGCAGGGCCUCCUUUUAACAAGGGCCGUCCGCUCGCGUGUCUUUCGCGGUGCCAGACGCAUUUGUCUCUCGUCCGAAGGGCGCUGCAGCCGGUUGGGCAGAGCAAACACGACGGCCUGAAGGUCGGGAACUGGCAGGUGGCCGGUGGCGCGCCUCGGUGCGUCGCCGGUUGUUAGCCGUCUCGGCAGUGGCUCGUCGCCCGACCGAGGUGUUUCCGCGGGGCUUCGGCCUCGCGGCCUUGACGUCUCCGACUUUUUGUCGCGGAGCAGACCGGCGCAGGCGACUUCCGCUGUUUCGCCACACGGCCACGCCGUGGGAGGACAGAACCGGAGGGCGUCGUUGGUGUCGGCACAUCCGCGGGAGACAUGAGGUUGGCAGCGAGUAGGUCGGUCACCCACCCGACCCGUCUUGAAACACGGACCAAGGAGUCUAACAUGUGCGCGAGUCAAUGGGUCUUGAAUAGGCCCAGGGGCGCAAUGAAAGCAAAGGUCGGCUCCGGCCGACCGAGUCGGGAUCCCCCUCCCCGCGGGGUGGGGGCGCAGCGACGACCCGCCCUAUCCGGCUCGCCGGUUGGGCGGAGUUUGAGCGUACA
rnacentral:rRNA from 1 species